rnacentral:rRNA from 1 species
AACGAACGCUGGCGGCGUGCCUAACACAUGCAAGUCGAACGUGAUUGGAAGCUUGCUUCCAUGAAAGUGGCGCACGGGUGAGUAACGCCUAGAUAAUCUACCUGAUGGAUCGGGAUAACACUUCGAAAGGGGUGCUAAUACCGGAUAAGCCCACGGAGUCCUUGGACACUGCGGGAAAAGGGGGGGACCUUCGGGCCUUCCGUCAUCAGAUGAGUCUGCGUACCAUUAGCUAGUUGGUGGGGUAAAGGCCUACCAAGGCGACGAUGGUUAGCUGGUCUGAGAGGAUGAUCAGCCACACUGGAACUGAGACACGGUCCAGACUCCUACGGGAGGCAGCAGUGGGGAAUUUUGCGCAAUGGGGGAAACCCUGACGCAGCAACGCCGCGUGAGUGAUGAAGGCCCUUGGGUCGUAAAGCUCUGACAGAGGGAAAGAAAUGCAGGGGGGCUAAUAUCCCUUUUGCUUGACGGUACCCUCAAAGGAAGCACCGGCUAACUCCGUGCCAGCAGCCGCCGUAAUAC